UCCGUAGGUGAACCUGCGGAAGGAUCAUUCACAAACGAGUGUUUUAUGGCACUCUUUAAAAAUCCAUAUCCACCUUGUGUGCAAUGUUUGUUGGGAAAGUCUUUUCUUUCCCUUCAUAAAUAUCAACCUAUAUCUUUAACAACAUUCGUCUGAUAACAUAUUAUGAAUAUACUUAAUUCAAAAUAUAACUUUCAACAACGGAUCUCUUGGCUCUCGCAUCGAUGAAGAACGCAGCGAAAUGCGAUACGUAAUGUGAAUUGCAGAAUUCAGUGAAUCAUCGAAUCUUUGAACGCAUAUUGCGCUCUUUGGUAUUCCGAAGAGCAUGCUUGUUUGAGUAUCAGUAAACACCUCAACCUCUCUUUUUGACAAAAAAAAGGAGGGUGGACUUGAGCUAUCCCAACGACCUUCACCGGUAGGCGGGCGGCUUGAAAUGCAGGUGCAGCUGGACUUUUAUCUGAGCUAAAAGCAUAUCUAUUUAGUCCUCGUCAAACAGGAUUAUUACUUUUGCUGCAGCUAACAUAAAGGAUAAUUGUCCUCUUUGCUGACUGAUGCAGGAUUUUACGACACUUUAUGUGUUGUUCAACUCGAUCUCAAAUCAAGUAAGACUACCCGCUGAACUUAAGCAUAUCAAUAAGCGGAGGA
rnacentral:rRNA from 1 species